rnacentral:pre_miRNA from 9 species
UCUCGAUAGCGUAAAAGUUAACUCAGGUUUGUAUGAAGUUUGAACGUUUGCCUACGUUUGCCGCUAGGGGCGAUGUUCCAACUUCAUACAUAUUUCAGUUAUCUUUUACGCUUUCAU